rnacentral:rRNA from 1 species
CGUGCGGGGUGGCCUAACCANUGCAAGUCGAACGAGAAAGUGGAGCAAUCCAUGAGUACAGUGGCGACCGGGUGACUAUAAAGGACCAACCNGNCCNCGAGNGGGGAANAACNCCGGCUUUCCGGAGCUAANACCGCANAACANCGCAAGAACAAAGCCGCAAGGCGCUGGAGGAGGGGGCCGCGGCUGAUUACCUAGUUGGUAGGGUAAUGGCCUACCAAGGCGAAGAUCGGUAGCCGGCCUGAGAGGGCGCACGGCCACACUGGAACUGAAACACGGUCCAGACUCCUACGGGAGGCAGCAGUGGGGAAUUUUGCGCAAUGGGGGAAACCCUGACGCAGCAACGCCGCGUGGAGGAUGAAGUUCCUUGGGACGUAAACUCCUUUCGACCGGGACGAUACUGACGGUACCGGAAGAAGAAGCACCGGCUAACUCUGUGCCAGCAGCCGCGGUAAUACAGAGGGUGCGAGCGUUGUUCGG